rnacentral:rRNA from 1 species
GGGAUGAAGGCCUUCGGGUUGUAAACCGCUUUCAGCAGGGACGAAAUUGACGGUACCUGCAGAAGAAGCCCCGGCCAACUACGUGCCAGCAGCCGCGGUAACACGUAGGGGGCGAGCGUUGUCCGGAUUUAUUGGGCGUAAAGAGCUCGUAGGCGGCUCAGUAAGUCAGCUGUGAAAGCUCCGGGCUCAACCCGGAGAAGCCAGCUGAUACUGCUGUGGCUAGAGUCCAGUAGGGGAGCGUGGAACUCCUGGUGUAGCGGUGAAAUGCGCAGAUAUCAGGAAGAACACCAGCGGCGAAGGCGGCGCUCUGGGCUGGAACUGACGCUGAGGAGCGAAAGCGUGGGUAGCAAACAGGAUUAGAUACCCUGGUAGUCCACGCCGUAAACGUUGGGCACUAGGUGUGGGACCUUUCCAACAGGUUCCGUGCCGUAGCUAACGCAUUAAGUGCCCCGCCUGGGGAGUACGGCCGCAAGGCUA